rnacentral:rRNA from 1 species
UACAGAGGUCCCCAAGCGUUUGUUCGGAUUCAUUGGGCGUAAAGGGUGCGUAGGCGGCGCGGUAAGUCGGGUGUGAAAUCUCGGGGCUUAACUCCGAAACUGCAUUCGAUACUGCCGUGCUUGAGGACUGGAGAGGAGACUGGAAUUUACGGUGUAGCGGUGAAAUGCGUAGAUAUCGUAAGGAAGACCAGUGGCGAAGGCGGGUCUCUGGACAGUUCCUGACGCUGAGGCACGAAGGCCAGGGGAGCAAACGGG